rnacentral:rRNA from 1 species
GGGACGGGUGAGUAAUGUCUGGGAAACUGCCUGAUGGAGGGGGAUAACUACUGGAAACGGUAGCUAAUACCGCAUAACGUCGCAAGACCAAAGAGGGGGACCUUCGGGCCUCUUGCCAUCAGAUGUGCCCAGAUGGGAUUAGCUAGUAGGUGGGGUAACGGCUCACCUAGGCGACGAUCCCUAGCUGGUCUGAGAGGAUGACCAGCCACACUGGAACUGAGACACGGUCCAG